UGGGGAAUAUUGGACAAUGGGCGAAAGCCUGAUCCAGCCAUGCCGCGUGUGUGAAGAAGGUCUUCGGAUUGUAAAGCACUUUAAGUUGGGAGGAAGGGCAGUAAGCGAAUACCUUGCUGUUUUGACGUUACCGACAGAAUAAGCACCGGCUAACUCUGUGCCAGCAGCCGCGGUAAUACAGAGGGUGCAAGCGUUAAUCGGAAUUACUGGGCGUAAAGCGCGCGUAGGUGGUUCGUUAAGUUGAAUGUGAAAGCCCCGGGCUCAACCUGGGAACAGCAUCCAAAACUGGCAAGCUAGAGUAGGGCAGAGGGUGGUGGAAUUUCCUGUGUAGCGGUGAAAUGCGUAAGUAUAGGAAGGAACACCAGUGGCGAAGGCGACCACCUGGGCUCAUACUGACACUGAGGUGCGAAAGCGUGGGGAGCAAACAGG
rnacentral:rRNA from 1 species